CCGGUUGAUCCUGCCGGAGGCUACCGCUAUUGGAGUUCGAUUAAGCCAUGCGAGUCGCGAGUCUUAGGGACUCGGCGUACCGCUCAGUAACACGUGGGUAACCUGCCCUAUGCUGGGGGAUAACCUCGGGAAACUGAGAAUAAUACCCCAUAGUUCACCACGCCUGGAACGGUGGGUGGACCAAAGCUCCGGCGGCAUAGGAUGGGCCUGCGGCGUAUCAGGUUGUAGGGGGUGUAAUGUACCCUCUAGCCCUCUACGCGUACGGGUGUUGAGAGACAUCGCCCGGAGAUGGAUUCUGAGACACGAAUCCAGACCCUACGGGGUGCAGCAGGCGCGAAAACUUGGCAAUGCGAGAAAUCGUGACCAGGGAACUCCAAGUGGCUGGGGUAAGACCCAGUCUUUUCUUGACUCUUCAAAGGUCUUGGAAUAAGAGGUGGGUAAGGACGGUGCCAGCCGCCGCGGUAAUACCGGCGCCUCAAGUGGUAGUCGAUUUUAUUGGGCCUAAAACGUCCGUAGCCUGUUUGGUACAUUCGUGGGUAAAUCAACCAGCUCAACUGGUUGAAUUCUGCGAGCACGGCCAGACUUGGGACCGGGAGAGGUGUGGGGUACGCUCAGGGUAGGGGUAAAAUCCUGUCAUCCUGAGCGGACCACCUGUUGCGAAGGCGCCACACUAGAACGGAUCCGACGGUCAGGGACGAAGCCUAGGGGCACGAACCGGAUUAGAUACCCGGGUAGUCCUAGGUGUAAACGCUGUGGACUUGGUGUUGGGGAUUCUCCGAGGAUUCUCAGUGCCGAAGCGAAGAUGAUAAGUCCACUGCCUGGGGAGUACGGUCGCAAGGCUGAAACUUAAAGGAAUUGGCGGGGGAGCACCGCAACCUGAGGAUUGUGCGGUUUAAUUGGAUCAACGCCGGG
rnacentral:rRNA from 1 species